GUCAAGUGCGGUACGGUCCAAGCCGGAAAGGGCGAGAGGGUCUACAAAGCCGAGCCGAUUUGCAGGUUUUUCCUGAAGGAUAACAUUCAAGAUAUUGGAUCGCUUGCUUCUCAAGUCAUUGUCAAUUUCGACAGCGUCUUCCUUAAUACCUGGUAUUUUUUCUACAGUUCAUCUUAGUACAAACCUGUUCCGUUUUUCCAUGCCCUAGUUCCUGAUUGAAAUGCUAUGAGAUCUUACCUUAAACCGUACGCAAAUUUUAGGGCACAAUUGAAAGAUGUCGUGCUAGAGGGAGGAGAUGCAUUUGGCCGUGCACAUGGUGGCAUGAAACUAUUCGACUAUAUGGGUACAGAUGAGAGAUUCAGCAAGCUCUUUAACCAAACCGGAUUCACAAUCGCCGUUGUGAAGAAGGCUCUUGAAGUCUACGAAGGCUUCAAAGGUGUGAAUGUUUUGGUUGAUGUCGGAGGUGGAGUAGGCAACACCCUUGGUGUUGUUACUUCUAAAUAUCCUAACAUUAAGGGUAUUAAUUUUGAUCUCACGUGUGCCUUGGCACAAGCACCUUCUUACCCUGGGGUGGAACAUGUCGCCGGAGAUAUGUUCGUGGAUGUUCCAACCGGAGAUGCCAUGAUCUUGAAAGUAAGAUUAACAACUUAUUAUUCAUCUAGCUUGAAAGUGUAUGUAUACUAGUACUUAUAUCUGGGAUUAAAUUUGUUUUACAGCGUAUACUUCAUGAUUGGAAUGACGAAGACUGUGUGAAGAUUCUUAAGAAUUGUUGGAAAUCACUACCAAAGAAUGGUAAAGUUGUUGUCAUAGAAUUAGUCACUCCUGAUGACGCGGAGAGUGGAGACAUCAACGCAAACAUAGCAUUUGACAUGGACAUGUUAAUGUUCACCCAAUGUUCUGGUGGCAAAGAGAGGUCAAGAGCUGAGUUUGAAGCUUUGGCUGCAGCUUCUGGUUUCACCCAUUGCAAGUUCGUUUGUCGUGCUUAUCACUGUUGGAUUAUUGAGUUCUGUAAAGAAAAUGUUUAAAAUAUGAAACUUAAUCUGUUGGAAAAAAAUAAGAAAAACUAAAUCCUCGUCAUUGUUAAUUCGUCUUUGCUUUUUUUUUUUUUUACUUGUUUACCUUUUUAAUUCAUCUUUGUUUGAAAUGGUACAAUUUAGUCGAGCAAUAUGAAAUAAAAAAAUCUGUUUAUCAAUUGGUUUUCUCAUUUUGUACUCAGCUUUAGCUAAUAAUUGUAGCCACAUGGAAUUCAUUGAUUUCGUUUUGAAAGUCUCACACAAGAGCAUCAUUGGUUGUUUUCAUUUGUUUUCUUCUUCUUUCUCCUUGGUUGUUACUUGUUAGUCCUCUUCCUUUCGCCGGAAAUAACGGCUACAUACUUCUCUAGUUUAAUGUUUUAUUCAUAAUUUCUGUUAUUGCAAAAGCUUGAGAGAUUCAUAAAUGAAUAUAAACCAAAAAAAUGUUCAUAAAACUAGAAUAUAAUUAGAGAAUACAGACUAAGACCAUCUCCAAUGGUCCUUCAAAUUUUACUUUUUCCUUCAUUUUGAAGAUAAAAAUGAAGAAGUCUUUUCCAAUGGUGCUUCAAUUUCACCUUCAAAAUGAAGAAAUGAACAGUGUUCCUUUCUUCAUUUUUUGAAGGUGAACUUUUUUCUUAUAAAAUGUAACUUUAACUUUUUAUAUGUUUUGUUUUAUACCCAAACAAAACUUAUAUAUUUUUUUGUAUCCAAUUUUUUUUAAAACUAUGGAUUUAUCCAAUCAAAUUAUAAACUAAAAAUGUAAUAAGCACAAUAAAAAAUACAAUAACAUAUAUUAAUUAAGAAAUACAAGAACAUAGCCAACUACAAAAUUAAAAAUACAUAUCUAAUACUAAAUUAUAAAUAAGAAAACUUAACAUAACAUAAACUAACAACUUAAUAAUCUGAGAAACUAUUUCUACAUCCAUUAAAAUUAUUAAAUUUUUGUUGAAAUUUUACAAUAAAUAAAAUAAGUAGGUGAAAACUUAUAAAACAGAAAAUUGAAGGAUCUUAUUAGCAAUUAGUAAUAACAUAAAGAAAUAGAAUAUACCUAAAAUAUUCUUUUUGAAGAAAAAAAUGAAGAAAAGUUGAUCCAAUGGUUUCUUCAUUUUUUCCUUCAAAAAUGAAGAAAAAAAUGAAGAAACCAUUGGAGAUGCUCUAACUCAUAGAACAAAUGCCUGAUUGGAGGAAAAUGAGGCUUUUUACAUUUAUUUUUCAUUUGGAUUUUAUGGUACAUAAAUGCAUGCAUGUAAGUAUGUAACGAUAAACUUUUUGAAUGGGGUUGAUCGAUCACCACUUUAACAAUAGAAAUAGCAUCAACGGAUAGUUGGUUUGAGACAAAUGAACUAGACCGGGCAGAAAUCGGGAUCUAGAGAUAAGGCAUGACCAGCCGUGAGAUAACCAAUAAUCAUCCUUUUAUCCAUAACAAUAAUCAUCGCCUCAACUACCACCAUAUAGACAUAAUCCACGCAAAAACAAAGGCGAUUUAAUUUGCUCGGACACUUACCAACUUUGUAAUUAACUAUAAUACGUGUUAAGAUUUGCAGCUUUCUUAUGGUUAUUGACUUAUUGUUAUAGUUAGCCCUAAAUUAUAUAUUAUUAUGUCGAUCAAAUUGAAGAACAAACAGAAAAACGAAAGAAAAUAGAUACAGUAUCUCGCUAACCUCUUUAUUCUUUAUUAGACAUGAGAUAUACACUUAUAGUUUGGUCGAUCCCUUUAGUCAUAAAAUUGGAUCAAAUUGAUGAAAAAAAUAUAUUUUGCUUAAUUUCAAUUUUUUUUAUAAGAGAUAAGAUAUACUAAUGUAGUCAAUGAGUCAUGAAACAAAGUGAAUUGACUUUUAUUAAAAAUUCCAACCAACUUGAAAACAGAGUUAACUGUUUCAGCCGCCAGAAGUACCUCUUACUUUUCUACAUAGAGACUAUUGACUAUUCAGCCAGCCAAAUGGACCGGCACGCCAACAAUAUAUUUAAAUGAAAUUAUUAUAAAAUAAAUAAAAAAAGACAGAGGAAGCUAAGCCUUAAUUCGCUAUAAAAAGAGAAACUAAGAUUUAUCAAAGCAUCAUCUUCAACACUACACACACAUACAGCCUCUCUCUAUUUCCUCGCUUCUAAUUAGUAAGGUACCGUGAAGGAGAAGAAAGAAAGAGAUAAGGACAAAUAUGGGAAUCCUUUUUGAAGAAACCUUGAGCUCUAACGGUAAAACCCAAAUUGUUAUUGAUGAUGAUAAUGAGUUGGGUUUGGUGGCCGUGAGACUAGCCAAUGCUGCAGCCUUCCCAAUGGUUCUCAAAGCUUCCCUCGAGCUCGGUGUCUUCGACACUCUCUAUGCCGCCUCUGAGUUCCUCUCACCUUCCGAAAUAGCGAGCCGGCUACCAACCACACCUCGCAACCCUGGGGCGCCGGUUUUGUUGGAUCGUAUGCUUCGUCUACUCGCUAGCUACUCCAUGGUCAAGUGCGGUACGGUCCAAGCCGGAAAGGGCGAGAGGGUCUACAAAGCCGAGCCGAUUUGCAGGUUUUUCUUGAAGGAUAACAUUCAAGAUAUUGGAUCGCUUGCUUCUCAAGUCAUUGUCAAUUUCGACAGCGUCUUCCUUAAUACCUGGUAUUUUUCUAUUCAUCGAUUGAGAUGUUUUAAAACAUUCAAAUUAAACCAUGAAUCUUAUGUUAUGGAUACGCUGUUUUCACAGGGCACAAUUGAAAGAUGUGGUGCUAGAAGGAGGAGAUGCGUUUGGCCGUGCACAUGGUGGGAUGAAAAUCUUCGACUAUAUGGGCACAGAUGAGAGAUUCAGCAAACUCUUUAACCAGACCGGAUUCACCAUCGCUGUUGUGAAGAAGGCUCUUGAAGUUUACCAAGGCUUCAAAGGUGUGAAUGUUUUGGUUGAUGUAGGAGGAGGAGUUGGUAACACUCUUGGUGUAGUUACUUCGAAGUAUCCUAACAUUAAAGGUAUCAAUUUUGAUCUGCCUUGUGCCUUGGCACAAGCACCUUCUUACCUUGGGGUAGAACAUGUCGCCGGAGAUAUGUUUGUUGAUAUCCCAACCGGAGAUGCCAUGAUCUUGAAAGUAAGUCCAACAACCCUCUUAUUUUAACACAUACUUACUAGAAGUGUAUGUAUGUUGUACAUUGUGCUUACUUUUUGGGAUUAAAUUUGUUUUACAGCGUAUACUUCAUGACUGGACCGACGAAGACUGCGUAAAGAUUCUUAAAAACUGUUGGAAAUCACUUCCUGAAAACGGUAAAGUUGUUGUCAUAGAAUUAGUCACUCCUGAUGAGGCAGAAAAUGGGGACAUCAACGCGAACAUUGCCUUUGAUAUGGACAUGUUGAUGUUCACACAAUGUUCCGGCGGAAAAGAGAGAUCACGAGCUGAGUUUGAAGCUUUAGCCAUGGAAUCAGGCUUUACACAUUGCAAGUUCGUUUGUCCCGCUUACCACUGUUGGAUUAUUGAGUUUUGCAAAGAAAAUGUUUAAAAAUAUAAUGAGGAAUCCUCAUGCAUCAAUUGUUAAUUUCAUCUUCGCUUUAUUCCUUGUUUGCGAUGAUCAUGCCUUUGUCCUUGUCUUCAAUGCAAUGAAAUAAAAAUAAGCUUUUAGAUUUAUUUUUUAACAGUCCACUCGCUGAAAAAUAACGGCUAGCUACUUCUCUAUUUUAAUGUUUCAAUUUUUCUAUUAUCAUGCAUAUGUUUGAAAGAAUCUUUUCAUAAUAAAUUAAUAUUCUAAUAAUGUAGUCUUUUAAGAAUACAGUUUUAAGUAUAAGAUAUCAUAUAUGAUGGGACGAAUAUCCGAUAAAAAAGAAACUGAGUCAAUUUUAAGGUUUUAUCCUUGGUAACUAUAAAUUCGGAAGGUGUGUGCAACGAUUAUAAAAAAUGCCACGAUACGAGCAUAGUAGUGUACAUAAAAUCCACGAUAAUGUUUGAUAUUUAUCUCUAUAUACACUUCUAUGCUCGUAUCGUGGAUUUUAUGUUCAUAAUUAAUUAAUUAAAGAUCUUUUAAAAAUAAAUAAAUUAAUUAAAGAUGUAUUUAAGUUUACUGAUAAGGUUAAGUUGUAGGAGUUAAAAUUUAGAUAAGUAAGAAAAUUACAAUUGAUGGAAUUACAAUGUUCGUAUAUGGUUUUGGAGGAAAAUGAAAAAUAGAGUUUAUUUUAUUGUUAUGUCAUUGAUUUAAAUUGUCUUUCUUUCCCCAGAAAUAUGCAACCUUCUUAUCCAUCCAUAACAACUCAUCAGUCAUCAGGCUCACUCACCUACCACCGUAAUAACCAUGCAAAGACAAAGGCAAUUUCAGUCACACACGUAACAACUUUGUAAUUUACUUAAAUUGGUCCAUUAUAUGGUUACUCUUUGAAUUUUAAGUUUUCUUAUGAUUAUUGAUCUAAUUAACCCAAAACUAUAUAAGUAAAAAUGAAGUUUGACAAUCCAAAACUCGUGACCUUCCUAGAAGGCCGAUUCAAGAUGGAGGCCAUAGAGGACAAGCGUGAUGUUUACACUCACUUCGGUCCAAAUUACAGCAGAUAUAUUAUCCUACUAAAGAAAAAUAAAAUAAAGAUUUCCGUAUUUUUCUUGUCCUUCCUAUGUCGCAAUCGUUCAAAUCAAGUUGGAGACUUGGAGCUAUGCGUUUCUCUGCGUAUUAUAAUUUAUUUUAUUAUUAUGCGAUCAAACUGAAGAACAAAAUAAAUAAGAUAUUUGCUUAUUAUUUUAUUUUCUUUUAUAACCGAUAUUUGCGAACGUAAUAUACACUUUUAUAGUCACUUGGUCUACCAUAGUGAUGAAAUUAAAGUGACUGUCGUCUCCUUUGAACAUUGACUUUUCAAAACCAAUUGACUUGAAACAAGAUUUAGCUGUUUCAGCCGCAACAAGGGCCUCUUACUUUUCCACAUCGAGACUAUUCAGCCAGCCAAGUGGACCGGCACGCCAACGAUAUAAUUCAAUGAAUACAAUAAAUUUAGUUAAAAUAAUAUGAGGAGGCUAUAAAGCCUUAGCUAUAAAAGGAGAAAUCAUCUUCAUCAACACUACAAAUAAGAAACACACAUACACAGCCUCUCUCUCCCUAUCUAUCUUUCCUCGCUUCUGAUCAGAGUGAUCACGUACGGUACCGUGAAAGAGAAGAAAGAAAAAAAUGGGAAUCCUUUUUGAAGAAACCUUGAGCUCUAACCCCCAAACCCAAAUUGUUAUUGAUGAUGAUGAUAAUGAGUUGGGAUUGAUGGCCGUGAGACUAGCCAAUGCUGCAGCCUUUCCAAUGGUUCUCAAAGCUUCCCUCGAGCUCGGUGUCUUUGACACUCUCUAUGCCGCCUCUGAGUUCCUCUCACCUUCCGAGAUAUCGAGCCGGCUACCAACCACACCUCGCAACCCUGGGGCGCCGGUUUUGUUAGAUCGUAUGCUUCGUCUACUCGCUAGCUACUCCAUGGUCAAGUGCGGUACGGUCCAAGCCGGAAAGGGCGAGAGGGUCUACAAAGCCGAGCCGAUUUGCAGGUUUUUCCUGAAGGAUAACAUUCAAGAUAUUGGAUCGCUUGCUUCUCAAGUCAUUGUCAAUUUCGACAGCGUCUUCCUUAAUACCUGGUAUUUUUUCUACAGUUCAUCUUAGUACAAACCUGUUCCGUUUUUCCAUGCCCUAGUUCCUGAUUGAAAUGCUAUGAGAUCUUACCUUAAACCGUACGCAAAUUUUAGGGCACAAUUGAAAGAUGUCGUGCUAGAGGGAGGAGAUGCAUUUGGCCGUGCACAUGGUGGCAUGAAACUAUUCGACUAUAUGGGUACAGAUGAGAGAUUCAGCAAGCUCUUUAACCAAACCGGAUUCACAAUCGCCGUCGUGAAGAAGGCUCUAGAAGUCUACGAAGGCUUCAAAGGUGUGAAUGUUUUG
rnacentral:lncRNA from 1 species